rnacentral:tRNA from 1 species
UCCUGAUGGUUCAGUGGUUAACAAUCUGCCUGCCAGUGCAGGAAAUGCAGAAGAUGUGGGUUCAAUCCCCGCAUCAGGAA